UGGGGUGUCGUCUAAUGGUAGGACAGCUGACUCUGGAUCAGUAAGUUGGGGUUCGAGUCCCUGCACCCCAG
rnacentral:tRNA from 1 species